rnacentral:rRNA from 1 species
CUUUGAUCAUGGCUCAGGAUGAACGCUAGCUACAGGCUUAACACAUGCAAGUCGAGGGGAAACGAUAUUGGAGGCUUGCUUCCGAUAGGCGUCGACCGGCGCACGGGUGAGUAACGCGUAUCCAACCUGCCCAUCACUUGGGGAUAACCUUGCGAAAGUAAGACUAAUACCCAAUGACGUCUCUAGAAGACAUCUGAAAGAGAUUAAAGAUUUAUCGGUGAUGGAUGGGGAUGCGUCUGAUUAGCUUGUUGGCGGGGUAACGGCCCACCAAGGCAACGAUCAGUAGGGGUUCUGAGAGGAAGGUCCCCCACAUUGGAACUGAGACACGGUCCAAACUCCUACGGGAGGCAGCAGUGAGGAAUAUUGGUCAAUGGACGAGAGUCUGAACCAGCCAAGUAGCGUGCAGGAUGACGGCCCUAUGGGUUGUAAACUGCUUUUAUAAGGGAAUAAAGUGAGUCUCGUGAGACUUUUUGCAUGUACCUUAUGAAUAAGGACCGGCUAAUUCCGUGCCAGCAGCCGCGGUAAUACGGAAGGUCCGGGCGUUAUCCGGAUUUAUUGGGUUUAAAGGGAGCGUAGGCCGGAGAUUAAGCGUGUUGUGAAAUGUAGACGCUCAACGUCUGCACUGCAGCGCGAACUGGUUUCCUUGAGUACGCACAAAGUGGGCGGAAUUCGUGGUGUAGCGGUGAAAUGCUUAGAUAUCACGAAGAACUCCGAUUGCGAAGGCAGCUCACUGGAGCGCAACUGACGCUGAAGCUCGAAAGUGCGGGUAUCGAACAGGAUUAGAUACCCUGGUAGUCCGCACGGUAAACGAUGGAUGCCCGCUGUUGGUCUGAAUAGGUCAGCGGCCAAGCGAAAGCAUUAAGC